rnacentral:rRNA from 1 species
CCUACGGGGAGCAGCAGUGGGGAAUAUUGCACAAUGGGGGGAACCCUGAUGCAGCGACGCCGCGUGGGUGAGGAAGUACUUCGGUAUGUAAAGCCCUAUCAGCAGGGAAGAAAAUGACGGUACCUGACUAAGAAGCCCCGGCUAACUACGUGCCAGCAGCCGCGGUAAUACGUAGGGGGCAAGCGUUAUCCGGAUUUACUGGGUGUAAAGGGAGCGUAGACGGCGUGCCAAGUCUGGUGUGAAAGGCCGGGGCUCAACCCCGGGACUGCAUUGGAAACUGUCAUGCUGGAGUGCAGGAGGGGCAAGCGGAAUUCCUAGGGUAGCGGUGAAAUGCGUAGAUAUUAGGAGGAACACCGGUGGCGAAGGCGGCUUGCUGGACGGUAACUGACGUUGAGGCUCGAAAGCGUGGGGAGCAAACAGGAUUAGAUACCCUUGUAGUC